GAAAUACGGGCGUAUUCCCGCCUCCGGCCCCCGU
rnacentral:sRNA from 1 species